GAUGAACGCUGGCGGCGUGCCUAAUACAUGCAAGUCGAGCGAACAGAUAAGGAGCUUGCUCCUUUGACGUUAGCGGCGGACGGGUGAGUAACACGUGGGUAACCUACCUAUAAGACUGGGAUAACUUCGGGAAACCGGAGCUAAUACCGGAUAACAUUUGGAACCGCAUGGUUCUAAAGUGAAAGAUGGUUUUGCUAUCACUUAUAGAUGGAUCCGCGCCGUAUUAGCUAGUUGGUAAGGUAACGGCUUACCAAGGCAACGAUACGUAGCCGACCUGAGAGGGUGAUCGGCCACACUGGAACUGAGACACGGUACAGACUCCUACGGGAGGCAGCAGUAGGGAAUCUUACGCAAUGGGCGAGAGCCUGACGGAGCAACGCCGCGUGAGUGAUGAAGGGUUUCGGCUCGUAAAACUCUGUUAUUAGGGAAGAACAAAUGUGUAAGUAACUGUGCACGUCCUGACGGUACCGAAUGAGAAAGCCACGGCUAACUACGUG
rnacentral:rRNA from 1 species